rnacentral:tRNA from 1 species
GGCUACGUAGCUCAGUUGGUUAGAGCACAUCACUCAUAAUGAUGGGGUCCUGGGUUCGAAUCCCGUCGUAGCCACCA